CGGUCAUGUGACUCAGCAUGGCGUCAUCACGAGGAAUAAUCCCGCACCUGUAAACAGCUUUGCUCUUCAGUCUUCACGUCUUCAUGUGAGAAGAACAUGUAAUGCUAUAUGUAGGACACUGACUUAAACUGCUUGACCUCUGGCAAGGGUGGUCAAAGGUCAACUCACUUGACAUCUCUGCCCGCAUCUUACUGAUGAACACACUCGGACCGCGUCUGAUGAGCGCUUCAAUGCACAUCUGUGCAUGGCAAGAGGCAUUUUUAAUUUCACUGGAGGAUAAAAAGCCAGCGGCAGAGCUCCAUCCAUUUUGUAUGGUACCUUAAUUUCAC